GCACAAGCGGUGGAUGAUGUGGUUUAAUUCGAUGCAACGCGAAAACCUUACCCACCUUUGACAUGUACGGAACCCUUUAGAGAUAGAGGGGUGCUCGAAAGAGAGCCGUAACACAGGUGCUGCAUGGCUGUCGUCAGCUCGCGUCGUGAGAUGUUGGGUUAAGUCCCGCAACGAGCGCAACCCUUGUCAUUAGUUGCUACAUUCAGUUGGGCACUCUAAUGAGACUGCCGGUGACAAGCCGGAGGAAGGUGGGGAUGACGUCAAGUCCUCAUGGCCCUUAUAGGUGGGGCUACACACGUCAUACAAUGGCUGGUACAAAGGGUUGCCAACCCGCGAGGGGGAGCCAAUCCCAUAAAGCCGAUCGUAGUCCGGAUCGUAGUCUGCAACUCGACUACGUGAAGUCGGAAUCGCUAGUAAUCGCAGAUCAGCAUGCUGCGGUGAAUACGUUCCCGGGUCUU
rnacentral:rRNA from 1 species